GCAUAAAAAAUUAAGUACAAGUUCAAAUUAUCUUGCAUUAAUCCUCGAAAGCAUCUGCAUAAAAUGAAAGUACAAUCAAAUAAGAAAAAGUGAAGACACCAAUCAUUGUCGGAUAUUGACUUGUAGUAUUCCUCUGACCGUUGUGAAGGGGUAAGUCUAAGCACGAGACUGAUAUAUGUGAAGUUUACACACAAUAAGCAACUUGAAAAGUCUAUGCAUAAGUCUUCCAUGUUCCACUCUGUUUAGCAUCAUAACCAUAGUUUUUUUUGAGUCAUUCAUUUUUUGACGAGAGGGGUUGCUCUGAUGGUAAGCAACCUCCACUUCCAACCGAGAGGUUAUGA
rnacentral:lncRNA from 1 species